GUCCACUACUGUCUACCCACGUGUUGUCCGUCGCAGGACAGUGACGUCACACGCGUGAACAGCUGAUCGUGUCUCUUUAACGUCGCGCCACGAAUCCCACGCGAGUUUCACCUUGUUACGAACCCGGAGAUCCACGGAAACAACCGAGUCUAAACCCAAUACUUGCUCGGAGUCGGAACAGAGAAGCUUCUAUAGAUCCAGGUUCCCUGUGCAGGACGGGUCCCGCCUACAGCAGAGGCUGAAGAACAUGGGACUGGAGGACCGGACCCCGACACGACACCAACACUCCGACCCGUCUUGUUCCAGAACGCGCCGGGGCUUCCGCUGCACGGAGAAAAACACCCUUCCCACCGCCUUCCAGGAGUGUGAGGAGAAAAGGAAAGCCACAGAUCUGAUGGACAGGCAGGCAAAGCGGUUUCACGUGGACGCAGAUGAAAACAGGAUGAGGUCAGACGGAGAGGUCGAUAACGUGGACUGUUCGCUUACAUCUACCAGUGCAGAGUUUUCCCUCCUGGAAUCAGGGAUCCACUUCCCCUUAACGUUCCUUCAGACGGUAGAGAACGAGGAGGAGAACACACAGGUUCUAGUGAUGACUGAGGACCAGGACCAGCUGCUGACCGCCAUUGCCUCGGCUCUGUCGGCCCACGGCCACCGUCUGGUCCUGACCCACGGGUUGGAGGACGGUGAGUCUGAGGGUCAGGUGAUCUCCCUCUACCAGACGAGUCCACAGCUCGGCUUCUCCUCCGACACCGUGUUGGCGUCAGCUCUGAGCUCACAUCCAAUCACGUCCACUCUGCCCAUCGUGUCCAAUCACGUGGCUCCGCCCACUAUCAGUAAGGACGAGGGAGACGAGGAGCGGUCGGAGGACGAAGACCCAGAACCGUCACUGGAUCAGAAACUGGAGGAGCACAGCUACCACAGGAGCAGCGUGACCAAGGAGCAGCUGCAGCGUACGGUGCGUGAGCUGCAGCAACAGGUCAAAGUUCUGCAGCAGCAGCAAGUAGAGCAGCUUCUGUGUUUAGAGAACGCAGUGACUCAGCUGAAACACAACGACCUGCUCAACCAGGAGAGACUGCAGCUGCUGGAGAGGGUUUACCUACAGAGCGGUACAGGUGCGCUGGACGCAGGAGAGACCGUGACCAUCAUCUAUGAAGAGGAGAACGGCUCGUAUCUGUGGCCGAGCUGUGGAUCUGUGAAGCUCAACACUCCUUAGCUUAGCUUAGCUUAGCUUAGCGUUUCCUUUAAUCAGAUUUCUACGACUGUGUCAGUUUUGCACUAUUAUUUUUGUCCUCAUAUUUGAGCUUGGAUGAUAAACGAAGGCUUGUGUGUGUGACCUUUAAUGAUUUAGUUUAAUUUUCUCAAACUAAACAAUAAAAAUUGUGAUUUGAACGAUAAGGAUGAAUGU
rnacentral:lncRNA from 1 species